GUGCUUGCUUUGGCAGCAUAUAUACUAAGACUGGAACAAUACAGAGAUUAGCAUGGCCGCUUUGCAAGGGUGACACGCAAAUUUGUGAAAUGUUCCAUAUAUUG
ensembl:snRNA U6 U6 spliceosomal RNA